GAUGAACGCUGGCGGCGUGCCUAAUACAUGCAAGUCGAACGAAGGUUUGUAGCAAUACCGACCUUAGUGGCGAACGGGUGAGUAACGCGUUGGUGACCUGCCCCAAAGUGUGGGAUAACUCCGGGAAACUGGAGCUAAUACCGCAUAUGGUCACGAGGGUUAGAUACCUUGUGUCUAAAGGAGUAAUCCGCUUUGGGAGGGGCCUGCGUCCCAUCAGCUAGUUGGUAGGGUAAUGGCCUACCAAGGCUACGACGGGUAGGGGACCUGAGAGGGUGAUCCCCCACAAUGGAACUGAAACACGGUCCAUACACCUACGGGAGGCA
rnacentral:rRNA from 1 species